rnacentral:rRNA from 1 species
CUACGGGUGGCACCAGUGGGGAAUAUUGCACAAUGAGCGAAAGCUUGAUGCAGCCAUACCGCGUGUGUGAAGAAGGCCCGAGGGUUGUAAAGCACUUUCAAUUGUGAGGAAGGUAGUGUAGCUAAUAUCUGCAUUGCUUGACGUUAACUUUAGAAGAAGCACCGGCUAAGUCUGUGCCAGCAGCCGCGGUAAUACAGAGGGUGCAAGCGUUAUUCGGAAUUACUGGGCGUAAAGCGCGCGUAGGCGGAUUGAUAAGUCAGUUGUGAAAGCCCUGGGCUCAACCUAGGAACUGCAUCUGAUACUGUUAGUCUAGAGUUUAAUAGAGGGAAGGGGAAUUCCAGGUGUAGCAGUGAAAUGCGUAGAUAUCUGGAGGAACAUCAGUGGCGAAGGCGCCUUCCUGGAUUAAAACUGACGCUGAGGUGCGAAAGCGUGGGUAGCGAACGGAUUAGAUACCCGAGUAGUC